AGAACAUGCUCCUUACACCAAGCCGUGGGCGUCUCUCCCUCUCUCCACCAAAUCGGAUCGAAGCAGUAUUUCUUGUAACCAAACUCAGCCAUCCUGCCCUAGGGCUUUUAUUACAGGAGUUGAGAAGCCUCCUCUGUAACCAAGGAGACAAGAAUGUUUCAAAAGCACAUAUGAAGGUUUGAUGCCUGAGAAACUACUAGUGGACAAGUCUAUGACAAUCAACAAAGAAGCACUGAAUUUCGGG
rnacentral:lncRNA from 1 species